AUAGCAUCAAUAUGUUCGUGUCAUGCUCCGCAGCACUUGACAACGUGCUGAUUCUGCUAGCUCACCACGUGGCAGUGCAUAGCUGUUAACGCUCCCCAAGUAACGUUAUAAGGAUUUUCAAUUCAGAAACGUCAUCGUUUUAUACCCUUCUAGCAGCCGUAUCUAUCUGAUUUUUCUUCAACUCCUCGGUUUUUAGGUGGCGGCCAACCAAUUCCAGCCCAACUUCCCCAGAAAAUAACAAAAUAGUUAUCUUGGAGACAUAAAUUAUCCGUAGUAUCUUCUGGGUUAUCCCUGUAAAACAAACAGGUAAUCCCAUUCCUCUUCAGAUUAAGACCCACAGCCACAUAAUGUCUCUUGCGGCCAUUUCCACCCUCCUCCUCCUCCUCCUGCUCCUAUCAUCCCUUGCCGCCUCAUCUCCCGCCGCCAUCGCCGAUGAUACCCCGACGGCGUAUGAGGUCCUCGCGGGAUACAAUUUCCCAAUUGGUAUCCUCCCUAAGGGCGCGACAGGGUACGAAUUAGACACUAGCACGGGUAAAUUCCUCGCCUAUUUGAACGGUUCGUGCAGCUUCGCUCUGGAAGGUUCCUAUCAGCUGAAAUACAAAUCAACAAUCAGUGGUUACAUAAGCCAAAACAAGCUCACAAAGCUGACUGGCAUAAGCGUGAAAGUGCUUUUCUUGUGGUUGAAUAUUGUGGAGGUGGUUAGAAAUGGAGAUGAUCUUGGAUUUUCCGUUGGGAUUGCGUCGGCGAAUUUCCCUAUUGAUAAUUUCUACGUGUGCCCGCAGUGUGGGUGUGGAUUGAAUUGCAAUAAUGUGAAGGUAAGCAACCUUAGAACCAACCCCUUUGUUUCCUCAACUUAGGGUUUCCAAAUAGAACAGUUUCUUGGAGGAAUCUUUUAAUGCUAUGUGCUAAUUGGAUAUUCCAUGAUCCGAUGUUUCUGUCACUGGAUGGGGUAUGACUUGAUUUGGGUCUUGUUUGUUUACUGGAAAUUGUUGAAUCUCAAUAUUGAGAUAAAGAACAUUUACAUAUUUGGUUUAUGUGCAUAUUCGAAUUAUGUGUUUUUCUAGCUUAAUGCUUUUCCUGGAUGUUCUGUAUUGAAUUGCUAUAAUUGACUAGGUGGAGUAUACCACAGAAUCAAAAAA
rnacentral:misc_RNA from 1 species